AUAUAACAUCAAUUGCGUACUAUGCAGCAAGAGUUUGUUCUGAGCAACUCCUUGAAUUUCAGGCACACACUAAUUGCAGUACAUUGUGUGGCGUGGCUACCUGUUAUGCCACUGCAGCUUCGGAGGUGUCAUCUUGUUCAGUAGAUGAUUUCGAACAGACUAUCACAGACAAUGCAGUGGCUUGGCAAUCUGCAACCUCAGAAACACAGACGGAAAUGUGUUGUCCAUCAGUUGGUGUGGUUUUCAAUAUGGAGAUGACAGUUUACGCAAUGGCUCUUGUAACUGGUGUCUUCUUGAAACUAUUUUCUAUGACGUGAAAUA